UGCCGCUAGGGUUUCGCGGAGCCGCGGUUUCUAGAAGUUUCUGCUCCCCUCCCGCGUGGAACGCGCCCGGGCUCUCCAGCGAUGGGGGAGACGCGGGUUCCGGGCCUGAAGAAGAAGGAGGCGUGGCAGGGCAAGGCGCCGCACGCGAGCAUGAAGGGGUCAAGCAAUGUUGCUCUGGCUGUAUCCGAUGAAGAAUACAAUGAUACCAUACUGCUACACAAGAUAACUCCUGAUGAUAUCUACAAAAAACAAGAGAGUAUCAUCUCAUGGAAGGAUCCUGAAUAGGCAUUAGAAUCAGCUUUGAUCUUUGAAGAACCUGCGGGAUGCUUAUCUAUAUGGGAGACCAUAUGCAAUAUACAGGAAGAACUGCAAGCAUCGCACCAAAAUUUGCAUGUUGUUAAUGGUGAAUUGAAGAAACAACAUUCUGUUGAACUUUUUUCCUCGAAAAAGAGGAAAUACUCUCAGCCUCCACCUCCUUUUGAGUUGUCUGGUCUUUUUUCCAUUUUAAAGAACAUCCAGACUAUACUGCAAUGUGGCAAGAGGGAGCAGAUGCAUGCUGCACAUUCAUCAUCAAAAGAUCAGGAUCCCAACUUGGCGCCUGCAAGGCCAAUGAUCUUAGACGACCUACCUCCAGAUCUUCUCGAGGAGGUUGUCAGGCGUCUGCCAUGCCGUGCGGACCGUGCCCGCCUCAGAUGCUGCAGUAGAUCUGGAGAGAUUCUGUCCAGAACUUCUGUGAGCCACUUCAGCUUCCCUGGCUCUUGCUUCCAUCAUCAGUGGAGCUGUUGUACUAUUCCGUGACUGGAGACAGUUUCAGAAACUAUCGUCCAAUUCCCAUCGAAGUUCAAGAUGCUCGCUUUGCUGGAGCUUCAGACGGCGAUUGGCUAUUUCUUGUAUCUGACAGUCCUCGCAGACACCUGCUAUUUCAUUUGUUCAGCGGGUGGAGCAUCCAGUUACCAAUUGCCAUGA